GAUGAAGAACGCAGCGAAAUGCAAUACGUAGUGUGAAUUGCAGAAUUCAGUGAAUCAUCGAAUCUUUGAACGCACAUUGCACCUCUCGGUAUUCCGGGAGGUAUGCCUGUUCGAGCGUCAUUUGUACCCUCAAGCUCUGCUUGGUGUUGGGUGUUUGUUCCGCCUCUGUGUGUGAACUCGCCUCAAAACAAUUGGCAGCCGGCGUACUUGUUUCGGAGCGCAGCACAUUUUGCGAUCCAGAUCAACGUACAGCGGCAUCCAAGAAGCCUUAUUUAACGCUCUUGACCUCGGAUCAGGUAGGGAUACCCGCUGAACUUAAGCAUAUCAAUAAGCGGAGGA
rnacentral:misc_RNA from 1 species